UACGUAGGGGGCAAGCGUUGUCCGGAUUUACUGGGCGUAAAGAGCGUGUAGGCGGAAGUUUAAGCGGGGCCUGAAAGCCCCCGGCUCAACCGGGGAAGGUGGCUGCGAACUGGGCUUCUUGAGGGGGGUAGAGGAGAGUGGAAUUCCUGGUGUAGCGGUGAAAUGCGUAGAGAUCAGGAGGAACACCCGUGGCGAAGGCGGCUCUCUGGGCCCGCCCUGACGCUGAGGCGCGAAAGCGUGGGGAGCGAACCGG
rnacentral:rRNA from 1 species